AUACGGAGGGGGCAAGCGUUACUCGGAAUUAUUGGGCGUAAAGGGCGCGUAGGCGGUCUCGUGCGUCAGGGGUGAAAUCCCCGGGCUUAACCCGGGAAGUGCCUCUGAUACGGCGAGACUUGAGUCCGGGAGAGGGGAGCAGAAUUCCCAGUGUAGCGGUGAAAUGCGUAGAUAUUGGGAGGAAUACCAGUGGCGAAGGCGGCUCCCUGGACCGGUACUGACGCUGAGGCGCGAAAGCGUGGGUAGCAAACAGGAUUAGAUACCCUGGUAGUCCACGCCGUAAACGAUGGGUGCUUGGUGUCGGGGGUAUCGACCCCUCCGGUGCCGAAGCUAACGCAUUAAGCACCCCGCCUGGGGAGUACGGUCGCAAGGCUGAA
rnacentral:rRNA from 1 species